CCUUUCUACGGAGAAUUCAGGAUGCUGUCUGGCAUCCGGUGUGUGUCCCCGCGUCCCGGAUCGUCCGGGGGUCGCGUGGGAGUGCUGGUGUGGAAGAGAUCAUGUGGGCGGCUUGUCUGGUGGUAUGGGCAUGCUUUUGGGUUCCCGGACCGCCACGUCCGUGUCUUUUGGCGCGGGUGGUUGCCGGGUCGUUCCCAUGGCCGGCGCGUGGUGUUCGUACUGCGUGGCCUGGUGGUGGGGUGCGUGGUGGUUUGAGAACUGGAUAGUGGACGCGAGCAGGGCAUGCGCUCCGUGCGGGUGCGUGUUCUGCUGUUGAUUUCGUAGAGGGACGGUCCCUUCGGGGAUUGUUCCUGUUGAUCGUUUUGUGAUCGUUCUAGUGUGAUGAUGUGUCGUCUGGUUUUCGCUGGAAGUUGAUGCGGGCGUCCGAUCCGUUCGGGUCG
rnacentral:misc_RNA from 1 species